GUCCACGCCGUAAACGAUGGAUGCUAGGUGCCGGCAGGCUUGCCUGUCGGUGCCGCAGCUAACGCCUUAAGCAUCCCGCCUGGGGAGUACGGCCGCAAGGUUAAACUCAAAGGAAUUGACGGGGCCCGCACAAGCGGUGGAGCAUGUGGUUCAAUUCGACGCAACGCGCAGAACCUUACCAGGCCUUGACAUCCUCUGACGGUCAGAGAAAUCGGACUUUCCCCGCAAGGGGCAGAGAGACAGGUGCUGCAUGGCUGUCGU
rnacentral:rRNA from 1 species